AUCUCUUGUAUUCUGUUGGUGAUGCUUGCAUCUGUGACUCCUGAUCUCUCUCCUGGGUUUUCUAUCUCCAAGAUUGUCUCCCUUUGUGAUUUCUUUGUUUUUUCUAUUUCAAUUUUUAGAUCCUGUGUGAGCACUAAAAGGGGUGUAGGGGAAGGAGGGGGAAGGGCAGAUAACCUGCGCCCAGCCAGAGUUCCUCUUAUGCUCCAGGCAGGCGGAUACGGGAGGGGUACUGGGCACUGUCCACUCGGCCCUGGGUGGGCAUCUAAGCCACUGACCCCACUCAAUGGUGGGGGGAGGGCGGACAAGGGGCAGCCCCCAACCGGGGACCCCAGGGCGACACCGGGUUGCCCUGGGGUUAUUGGAGAGAGGCGAGAGUAAACACAGUGGGCCUUGAUGAACAGAGACAGUCUAUGGUUUUAGAGCUUUAUUGUAGAAAGGCAGGGAGAAAGAGAAAAGGUAGAAAGAGAAAGAGACUGGCCAUGUCCGAGAGGAGAGAAAGGGGGAAAAGGAGAGAGAGAAGAAAGGCUAGAGUAAGAGGGAGAGAGCAAGAGGGAAAGGGUGAGGAGAGAGCAAGGAGAGAGUAAGGGGAGUAAGAGCAAGAGAGUAAGGAGGGGCCAAACAGCCCCUCUUAUGGUGUGCUGUUAUCUUUACUGUUGCUAGCUAGCCUGAAAGUCAGAAGCUUGGGACAUUGCCUAUGUGACUACUAACCAUGCUUCUCUUGUGGGAGCUGAGGGGGCAGUAACUUUGACAGGAGCCAGGGUUCCAGGAGACAUGAGAGAACUCCUUCCAUCCCAUGUAAGUGAAUUAUCACCACUGGGUCCCGGGAUUCAACAUCUAGCCUCAACUGGAAACCAGGCUGUCUGUACAUAGCCCAGAGCCCCACAAUCCUGGAUGAUUUUGUUCAAUUCCUUCACCUGAUUUGUUGUGUUUUUCUGUAAUUCUUUAAGGGAUUUUUGUGUUACCUCUUUAAGGGUUUCUAGCUGUUAACCUGUGCUCCCCUGUAUUUCUUUAAGGGAGUUAUUUAUGUCCUUCUUAAAGUCCUCUAUCAUCAUCAUGACAUAUGAUUUUAAAUCAGAGUCUUGAUUUUCUGGUGUGUCGGGCUAUCCAGGGUUCGAUAGAACUGAAUUCUGAAGGUAGAACUGGAUUCUGAUAAUGCUAAGUAGUCUUGUUUUCUAUUACUUAUGUUCUUGCUCUCACCUCUCGCCAUCUGUUUAUCUCUGGUCUUAGCUCAUCUUGCUGUCUCUAACUGUGACUUGUCUCUCCUAUAAACCUGUGUGUCAGCAUUCCUGGGAGACCAGUUCUCUCCUAGAGGAAUUUGGGUCUGGAAAGCUGUGGCACAGGGUCAAUUCUGGGUGCAGACGGAAACCAGAAGGAUCCUUUCCUUGGCUGUUCCUUAGUUCCUGUAUCUUGAUGGCUUUGGGCUCGUCCCUCUUGGUCCAGGAAUUUGAGUAGAAGUGGUGGUCCUACCUGUGCUCACUGAUUUGUCAGCACUCCUGGGAGACCAGCUCUCUCCCAGCGGUAUUUUGGUAUGGAGCGCUGUGACACAGGAUCAGCUUCUGGUACAGAUGGAAACUCGAAGAAUCCUGUCCCAGGUUGCUCCUAGGCUCCUCUGUCCUGAUGGCUCUGUGUGAGUCUCUUUCUGCUCUAAUUCUUAUAUCCCUUGGAUCCCUGUAUGUAAACAUCAGCUGUUUCACAGGUUGCAUGCCUGAGAGCUACUUGCAAAGCAAGUAGACAUAAAUCACAUUAACUAGGACUCAUCACCAAUUCAUCAGUGAUCCUGUUUCAAGAUCACUGUUUGAUACCAGUGUGUCCAGAUUUGCCUCUUGAACUAUGACACUCAAUAAAGACCUGUUUAACUU
rnacentral:lncRNA from 1 species